rnacentral:lncRNA from 1 species
AUCAGUAUAAAAACCUCAUGUAAGCAAUCAGAAAAACUUUAAGCAAAGCACACAAAAUGGUAUGGGAAUGAAAUUCUAACAACGAGAUCAAAGCAAAGAGCAUGGAAAUCAGAGAAGAACCCAGAAGAACACACAAGCAUGCAAAUAUACAAACACCAUCACACAAAGUUAGGGUUUCAUCAAACUUAAACAAAAUGCUAAAAAUAGCACUGAGAAUCAUGAGUCAAUACUCAAAAAUCAGGAAAAUAAAGUAGUUUUGAAAAGGGGUUCAGAAACCCUAGUUUUAAAAGGGAACAAAAACGUUUAAAUCUUGACAAUCGUAAAGAUCGGAUAGAGAGUAGUGUAAAACACAAAAGAGUAAGUUAAAAUCAUUAAAAAGACAAAUAUUUAAGAGGUCUAGGUAGAGGUUAGGGUUUCGUAAGAAACCAGUGAGAGAUGCGAGAAACCUGGUUGCGAAACGCAACGAUAAUGGUGUCCACAGCACCAUCGGAUAAAAACCCAUCGGAGAAAAGGUCGAAGACAAACCAGACCAACCUUCUAUGACCAUCUCUUAUGGCGGAGGCUCCUGGGCCUCAAAGAUAGAGGGAACCAACGAGGUAAAUCUUCACAGCGACUAGUGGUCGAAGAGGCGAGGUUGGAGGUGGCCAGAGAGGCGGUGGGGGUUCAUCGGAGAAGAAAAUAGAACCAGAAGGUUUUCGAGAGAAGAGAGAGGGAGAGUCAAUAUGGAGAAAGAGAGAG